UAAGUGCUUCCAUGUUUGAGCGC
rnacentral:miRNA from 1 species